UCCUAGUUAAUCUAGGCAGUCUCGUUAGAGUUCCCGCCAUUACGCGUUGGCAACUAACGAUAAGGGUUGCGCUCGUUGCUGGACUUAACCAAACACCUCACGGCACGAGCUGACGACAGCCAUGCAGCACCUAUAUAGAGACCCUUUCGGGAGAUGUCAUUUCUGACAUCGUCCUCUACAUUUCGAGCCCAGGUAAGGUUCUUCGCGUUGCAUCGAAUUAAACCACAUGCUCCACUGCUUGUGCGGGCCCCCGUCAAUUCUUUUGAGUUUCACCCUUGCGAGCGUACUCCCCAGGCGGCAUACUUAAUGCGUUAGCUCCGGAACAGAGGGGGUUGAGCCCUCCUACUCCUAGUAUGCAUCGUUUAAGGCAAGGACUAC
rnacentral:misc_RNA from 1 species